rnacentral:rRNA from 1 species
AUUGAACGCUGGCGGCAGGCCUAACACAUGCAAGUCGAACGGCAGCACAGAAGAGCUUGCUCUUUGGGUGGCGAGUGGCGGACGGGUGAGUAAUGUCUGGGAAACUGCCCGAUGGAGGGGGAUAACUACUGGAAACGGUAGCUAAUACCGCAUAACGUCGCGAGACCAAAGUGGGGGACCUUCGGGCCUCACACCAUCGGAUGUGCCCAGAUGGGAUUAGCUAGUAGGUGGGGUAAUGGCUCACCUAGGCGACGAUCCCUAGCUGGUCUGAGAGGAUGACCAGCGACACGGGAACUGAGACACGGGCCAGACUCCUACGGGAGGCAGCAGUGGGGAAUAUUGCACAAUGGGCGCAAGCCUGAUGCAGCCAUGCCGCGUGUAUGAAGAAGGGCUUCGGGUUGUAAAGUACUUUCAGCGGGGAGGAAGGCGGUGAGGUUAAUAACCUCGCCGAUUGACGUUACCCGCAGAAGAAGCACCGGCUAACUCCGUGCCAGCCGCCGCGGUAA